UACAGAGGGUGCGAGCGUUAAUCGGAAUUACUGGGCGUAAAGCGUGCGUAGACGGUUAUUUAAGUCGGGUGUGAAAUCUCCGGGCUUAACCGGGGAACUGCGUCUGAUACUGGAUGGCUUGAGUUUGGGAGAGGGAUGCGGAAUUCCAGGUGUAGCGGUGAAAUGCGUAGAUAUCUGGAGGAACACCGGUGGCGAAGGCGGCAUCCUGGACCAACACUGACGCUGAGGAGCGAAAGCGUGGGGAGCGAUCCGG
rnacentral:rRNA from 1 species